rnacentral:rRNA from 1 species
GAUGACGACCGGCGCACGGGUGCGUAACGCGUAUAGAAUCUACCUUAUAGUAAGGGAUAGCCCAGAGAAAUUUGGAUUAAUACCUUAUAGUAUCUUAAAUCAGCAUUGAUUAAAGAUUAAAGAUUUAUCGCUAUAAGAUGGCUAUGCGUUCUAUUAGCUAGUUGGUAUGGUAACGGCAUACCAAGGCGACGAUAGAUAGGGGUCCUGAGAGGGAGAUCCCCCACACUGGUACUGAGACACGGACCAGACUCCUACGGGAGGCAGCAGUGAGGAAUAUUGGACAAUGGAGGCAACUCUGAUCCAGCCAUGCCGCGUGUAGGAAGACUGCCCUAUGGGUUGUAAACUACUUUUAUAGAGGAAGAAACCGCUCGACGUGUCGAGCUCUGACGGUACUCUACGAAUAAGGAUCGGCUAACUCCGUGCCAGCAGCCGCGGUAAUACGGAGGAUCCAAGCGUUAUCCGGAAUCAUUGGGUUUAAAGGGUCCGUAGGCGGGUUUGUAAGUCAGUGGUGAAAGUUUUCGGCUCAACCGGAAAAUUGCCAUUGAUACUGCAAGUCUUGAAUCAUUAUGAAGUGGUUAGAAUAAGUAGUGUAGCGGUGAAAUGCAUAGAUAUUACUUAGAAUACCGAUUGCGAAGGCAGAUCACUACUAAUGUAUUGACGCUAAGGGACGAAAGCGUGGGUAGCGAACAGGAUUAGAUACCCUGGUAGUCCACGCCGUAAACGAUGGUUACUAGCUGUUCGGUUUUCGGACUGAGUGGCUAAGCGAAAGUGAUAAGUAACCCACCUGGGGAGCACGUUCGCAAGAAUGAAACUCAAAGGAAUUGACGGGGGCCCGCACGAGCGGUGGAGCAUGUGGUUUAAUUCGAUGAUACGCGAGGAACCUUACCAGGGCUUAAAUGUAGUCUGACAGCUUUAGAGAUAGA